rnacentral:sRNA from 1 species
AGUAAUUCUGAAACAGAAUCACAAAAGAAUAAUACUGCACAGUAUCUUGGGGAUGGGGGAAAAAGCUUGGUGCAAUUUUCAUAUAGAGGAUUUUACAAUGUUCUACCCCCCUCCCCGAAAUUAACAUUUAAGGGAAAGCCAAGUUUUCUUGCUAGCCAGAUACAUUGCAGGAUUUUUGGCUCAAUAGUGGCAUACCAGCCAGCUGGAGACAACAGUCACACCUUUGAUGUCACAGCGAUGUUCAAGUCUAUUGGGAUCUUCCUUGGAAUCUUCAGUGGAUCUUUUGCGAUGGGUGCUGCUACUGGAGUGGUGACAGCUUUAGUGACAAAGUUCACCAAAUUACGGGAGUUCCAGUUGUUGGAGACAGGCCUGUUCUUCUUGAUGUCCUGGAGUACCUUCCUCUUGGCUGAAGCAUGGGGCUUCACAGGUGUGGUUGCAGUAUUGUUUUGUGGCAUCACACAAGCACAUUAUACGUAUAAUAAUUUGUCCACGGAGUCUCAGCAUAGAACUAAACAGUUGUUUGAGCUUCUCAAUUUCUUGGCAGAGAAUUUCAUCUUCUCCUACAUGGGGCUGACACUGUUCACCUUCCAGAACCAUGUCUUUAACCCAACAUUUGUAGUAGGAGCAUUUGUUGCUAUUUUCUUGGGAAGAGCUGCCAAUAUUUACCCCUUGUCCCUCUUACUUAAUUUGGGUAGAAGAAGUAAGAUUGGAUCAAAUUUUCAACACAUGAUGAUGUUUGCUGGCCUUCGUGGUGCAAUGGCAUUUGCCUUGGCCAUUCGAGAUACUGCCACUUAUGCACGGCAAAUGAUGUUCAGCACCACGCUUCUGAUUGUGUUUUUUACCGUGUGGGUAUUUGGUGGUGGCACCACUGCAAUGCUGUCAUGCUUGCAUAUCAGGGUUGGUGUUGAUUCAGACCAAGAACACUUGGGUGUUCCUGAAAAUGAAAGGAGAACUACCAAAGCAGAGAGUGCUUGGCUUUUCCGGAUGUGGUACAACUUUGAUCAUAACUAUCUGAAGCCUCUGCUGACCCACAGCGGGCCUCCGCUGACAACAACACUCCCUGCCUGCUGUGGACCCAUCGCCAGGUGCCUCACCAGCCCCCAGGCUUACGAAAACCAGGAACAGUUGAAAGAUGAUGAUUCUGAUCUUAUUCUCAAUGAUGGUGACAUCAGUUUGACAUAUGGAGAUUCUACUGUGAACACUGAACCGGCCACAUCCAGCGCCCCAAGGAGAUUUAUGGGAAACAGUUCUGAAGAUGCCUUGGAUCGGGAGCUUGCAUUUGGGGACCAUGAACUGGUCAUUCGAGGAACACGCCUGGUUCUUCCAAUGGAUGAUUCUGAACCCCCGCUAAAUUUGUUAGAUAAUACGAGACAUGGUCCAGCCUAAGCUUACUAAUACUCACUUAGUGAUUUGUAAAAUUUGCACAUGUGAUUGUGAAGAAAUUUGUACUACCUAAAAGUCCCAGUGCAUGUGUCUGAAUGUGUAAGCUAUAUAAAUGCUAUUUAUAUGGCAUAGAAAGAAUAUAAAUAUCCUGUACACGGCAGAUUGUGAACAAACUAUAUUCCUUUAAGUUUUCCUGGUUGCACUCUGUAGACUGGAUCUGUUUUAGGAAGUUACUUUCACAGUGAUGUUGUGUGUUCUGUUAGUUUUAUGUCUCAGUUAAAGUAUAAAAAGUGACGGAUUUUCUCUUUCUUAAACUUACCUGACACUUAACCAGAGUACCAAGUUCUCGUGAUGUGAAUUAAUUUUUUUGUGUGCUAGGGGAGGGAGAGUGAGGAGGGAGUGUUAUUUCCUUGGGAACCUAGGGAGGAGAGGUUCCUUUGUUGGGAAACUUUUGUUGAUAGCUGCUGCCUUUGUCCUGAUCGUUUUCUUUCCCUUUUCUCUGGUGGCCUGUUGUGGUGCAACGAGCUGAUGGCAUUUGAUCUUGCCCCAUUCAGGUUGGGGAGUGAAGUGUGGGGACCCUUUUCCCCCGCUUGCUGUGAAAGCACAGAUUCAUUGACUACAGUACACUGUUGUUCAGAAAAGAAGGCUGCAAAUGACUUCUGAGACUUUAUGUCUUUUCUUCCAGACCAAGACCGUAGGAGUCACAUCUAGCCGGCUUAGCCAAAGUACAGGUGUAUAUAGUUCAGGGCACUUGAUUUAGAUUUGGAGGGGCUGGGGUGGGCAGAGAGCAAGAGGUGAGUAAAGAGAAUGGUGGUUUCAGAGAUCUCUCUUCCCAAAUGUGUAAAUAUUCUAUACCAGAUAAGUUUAAAUAAGAAAUUUAAUUGCUGCUUAAUUUUUGAUUAUGUACUUUAUCUGUAUAGCAGGCUUUGUCGUCAGAAGUUUUUAUAUCGAUUUAAAUUGCUGCUCUUUAGCAGCCAAACAGGAGCAAAAUGUAAAAUUUUUGAACUUACUGUGUCUAAUCAUCAUUUGUUAGUCUGUAGUUAAUGUCAACAGUUAAUUUAUGAACCCAUGAUCGUUCCACACUGCACCAAAGUCAGUCAUAAGAGAAAUCGAAUAUUCUGGAGCACUGAUUGCAGCAGUGUGGCUCCUUUGUGUGCAGCAGGUAUAGUAGUCUUCAUUUUCAUGGUACUUUUUAAUAUUAAUUACCUAAGCUGCCAUGCAUUUUUUUUUACAGUUCUCAAGGAAGAGCACAGAACAAUUUCUCAUUUCAUAUUUGGAGUAUGAAAGUAGAUUCUAUUUUGUAAUGCUGAUAAUACCUAAAGGUGCAUUGAAUGCUUGGAAGAAUGCUUUUUGAUGUUGAUUUUGACCUGUUCAUGAUUCAGAAGAAAAACAAACUUUUUUGGAUUUUUUUUCCCUCAGGUCUGAGUAGCAUUGCCUUAAAUCUUAUCCAGUUAGAACAUUGAUUUAUUUACAUGAUGUUCAGAUUUUCCAGUGAAAAAUACCCUUCUGAACAAAACAUGUACUUACUCUCCGAAAGGCAUCUGUGCUAUUGCAAACACUCCUUGAGAUUUUAAGGGAAUUCUAAUGUUGUACCCUUUCGUGGCAGCUUUGACUGUUGGCAUAGCCAUUUGUUAUGUAGUGGUAGCGACUUUCCUGCUAUGCAGGAAUCCCUCCCAUGAAGUGUAUGUUUUACAUGAUGUGUGCCUCUUCACGCAGUAAAUAGUUUCUUGUUAAUGUAUGUUUGAGGAGUUUGAACGUCAGUGUCACUUACCCACAAAGUUAUUCAAGUUGUAAAAGGUUAUACAAUAAUUUAACAACUACCUUUUUUAUUCUGUCGGGUUACUGACCUCACUUUAUGUAAAUACUUCGCAUGACAAAUUCAGUAACUCGUCUAUUUCAGCAUGCAUAAGACUUUUCACUAGGGAAACUGAUAAAGCUUGAGUCAACUAAAUCUGCCUUCAUACUUUAUCAAGGGGAACCAAGCCUGCUGUGCUUACAUCAGCAUCUGGAAGACUUUCCUCUCCUCUAAUCUGUGUACACAUCUCCAAGCAAGGAAGAAAAAACAAACUCUGCUCAGACGCCUAUGAAACACCUGAAUGAACUUUGAUGAAGUACAGUCUGAGUUACCAUCAUGCACAAGUAGAACUGCUCUUGGACUUGUUUUCCUGUUGUUUGUGGAACCUACGCGUUUGAAUGGCUUGAACGUUGCAUCUUUUAAAGUUAUUUUUUAAGGUUUCUUGGCAUUUAUCCUAGUUGUCCGUGUUUGGCAAUGUGCUGUUAAAGUAAUAGACUUUUAAUCUUUAUGUAUUUUUUGUUUUCUCUGGAGUACUUGGACAGAUGUUAUAGUGGUUUCUUUUAGGAAAAUCUGUCAUUAAAAAAGUUAUAGCCUUGCAAAUAACCACUCACAGUAUUUGAGUCACAGUUUAUUCUAGUGAGACGUAAAGAGUGCUGACUUCAUUUAUUUUUCUACCUAUAUACCUAGUGGAAAAGGGGAAGACUAAUGUUUUCAAAUAAACAA